rnacentral:rRNA from 1 species
UACGUAGGUGGCGAGCGUUGUCCGGAUUUACUGGGCGUAAAGAGCGCGCAGGCGGUCGUACAAGUCGCGUGUGAAAGCCCCUGGCUCAACUGGGGAGGGUCACGCGAUACUGUUCGACUUGAAGGCAGGAGAGGGAAGUGGAAUUCCCGGUGUAGUGGUGAAAUGCGUAGAUAUCUGGAGGAACACCGGUGGCGAAGGCGGCAUCCUGGACCGGCAUUGACGCUGAGGCGCGAAAGCCAGGGGAGCAAACGGG